UUAAAGACCGUAUACGUAUCUGUUUUUUCGUCUUAGACCAAUUGUAGGAAUUUGUUCGAACAUCUAGUGUUAGAGUCGGUCGUGUUUUAAAUAUCUUCCACCCGUUAUUAUAAUUUUCUCACCACCGCUUAACGUAUUCAAAAAUUAAAGUUAUGAAAAUAGAUACCGUCAAUCGUUGUCUUAAAUUAAUAUAGCUUCUGGUUUAAUCGGCCGAUCCAAACCUGGAAAGGCAUUAUUAGUGCUGGGAAUAGCGUUACCAACGCCUGGGAACCGGUUACCGUUGUUUCGAAACCAUUCUCUGAUAAAAUAUGGAGUACGAAUGGUCGUGGCUCGAUAUUUUACCAGAGAAUGGAUUGGGCACGGCGUGGUGCGCGACACGUAUAGACUAGGUCAAAUAUUAAAUGCGAGUGAAAAAUUUUAUAGGGAAAUAGAGAGUAUUAAAUCUAAGUGGCAAAUAUUAAAGUUGGAGUGGACAUUUUUCUUUUAUUUCAAAGCGCGGGAAUUAAUAUUUAUUUUUGUUUCGUCUUAUUUUCUUUUUAUUGCCAUUGUAAUAUUUUUACAGCGUCAC
rnacentral:lncRNA from 1 species